rnacentral:rRNA from 1 species
CGGCGCACGGGUGCGUAACGCGUAUACAAUCUACCUUAUACUGGGGGAUAGCCUUUAGAAAUGAAGAUUAAUACCCCAUGGUCUAUAGAUAUGGCAUCAUAUUUAUAGUAAAGGUUACGGUAUAAGAUGAGUAUGCGUCCUAUUAGUUAGUUGGUGUGGUAACGGCACACCAAGACUACGAUAGGUAGGGGCCCUGAGAGGGGGAUCCCCCACACUGGUACUGAGACACGGACCAGACUCCUACGGGAGGCAGCAGUGAGGAAUAUUGGACAAUGGGCGAGAGCCUGAUCCAGCCAUGCCGCGGGCAGGAAGACGGCCCUAUGGGUUGUAAACUGCUUUUAUACAUGAAGAAACACUCCCUCGUGAGGGAAUUUGACGGUACUGUAAGAAUAAGGACCGGCUAACUCCGUGCCAGCAGCCGCGGUAAUACGGAGGGUCCGAGCGUUAUCCGGAAUCAUUGGGUUUAAAGGGUCCGUAGGCGGGCAGCUAAGUCAGUGGUGAAAGUCUGCAGCUCAACUGUAGAAUUGCCAUUGAUACUGGUUGUCUUGAAUUAUUAUGAAGUGGUUAGAAUAUGUAGUGUAGCGGUGAAAUGCAUAGAUAUUACAUAGAAUACCAAUUGCGAAGGCAGAUCACUAAUAAUAUAUUGACGCUGAUGGACGAAAGCGUGGGGAGCGAACAGGAUUUAGAUACCCUGGGUAGUCCCACGCCGUAAACGAUGGGAUACUAGCCUGUUUCGGACUUCGGGUC